CCGCUGCACCCCGCCCCGCUGCCUCCCCCCGCUCCCGCCCAGGCUGCAGCGACAGGGGCGACCCCCGAAAGUUGCGCGGAGGCGAGAGCAAUGAGGCAAGAGAGAAGUUUUUAAAAACAGAAAAAUGUGAUUGCAUAAACAUCGUUGUUGGCAGGAGGACUCAGUGGAUUCAGAGCGUUCUUAUUUUGGUGGGAUGGGGACCAACACCUGAUGUCCAUAGAAAGCCCUGCAUGAGAACAGGAGAUAAAACUGCUAUUGGUCCUCCUGUUGUUAGGUACGUCCUUGAAGUCCUUUUGCAGUGUCGGCACAGAGUUGAUGUAAUCCAAACUGAGCACUCGCUGUGCGCAUGUGUGCGUGAGCGAGACGUGGUGGACACUGCAGCGGCUCCUGGGCCACUCAAGAGCACGCUGAUCUUUUAAUGUGAUACAUCGGUGAUGGGGGAUGCAGUCCCUCUGAGUGAGUGUGUUCACACACGUGUGUAGGCGUGUGAGAUCACGGAGGGCAGCACGAGACAGCUCUUCUGCUGCACCUUUGGGGGGUGGUUGUGGUCUCCACUGCUUCGAGCCAUUAGUGGGACAGGAAGGUGAAGUUGCUGCUGGAAAGGGGUGGAAGGAGGAAGAUGGGGAGCAGAGGAGUGGGGAGCCGGGUGGGGACCAGGGGCCAGGGAGGAAGACACAGCUCCAGAGGGAAAUACUCUGUGCUUUGCAGUUGCUUGUGUGGAUAGAAACCAGAUGGUGCGCUGGAACACCCGCUCGCUUGGGCGGCGGCGGAGCCAAACAUAUGGUUAAUGGUUAGGAGAAAGAGCUUUUCGAGCCAGGGCUUUGCUGACUGCCUCGCAUUACAGAUUGUUGCAGUGUGUCAUUACAUUGCCAAACUAAGUGCUUAAUACCCGCUGCGGGCGCUGGGCAGGCAUUUGCAGGAAGGAUGCAGAGGCUCCCUGGUCAGGGCGGGAGGCUGACAUCACGUAUGGCCCCCUGCCACACCCCCCCACACCCCCUUUCCCCUCUGGAAACCCCAGUAAUCUCCCCAUUUACAAGCCCAAAUCUACAGCAGGCAGUUUUCCUGCUCUGAGUGUCUUUAAGGCAUUUAUUUCCAACAGCGUAUGGUUAGUUUUGCCUUUUUUUGUGCCUUUUUUUUUUUGGUCCUCAAGCAGCCGAGUUCACUGAGGCUGCAGCACCACACUUACAUGUCCGGCAUCCGAAGUUCCUGCUCUGGGAUCUUUGGGCGACACCAGACCCCAUGUUAUCUAAGGAACUGCUGAGCUCAUUCAUCUCCUUUUCACGGCCCGCUUCCUUUUAUUUUUAGCCAAAUCCGUCAGGCCUGACAGGCGGGUAAUUUGAGCCAGAGAAAGGGCAAUGCUCCAGGUCCUUUCCACAAAGCAAUUCUUCUCCUCCCUCCUGGGAAGGCUCCAAACUUGGC
rnacentral:lncRNA from 1 species